AUUGAACGCUGGCGGCAUGCCUUACACAUGCAAGUCGAACGGCAGCACGGGGCAACCUGGUGGCGAGUGGCGAACGGGUGAGUAAUGCAUCGGAACGUACCUUUCAGUGGGGGAUAACGUAGCGAAAGUUACGCUAAUACCGCAUAUUCUGUGAGCAGGAAAGCAGGGGAUCGCAAGACCUUGCGCUGAUUGAGCGGCCGAUGUCAGAUUAGCUAGUUGGUGAGGUAAAGGCUCACCAAGGCGACGAUCCGUAGCGGGUCUGAGAGGAUGAUCCGCCAAACUGGGACUGAGACACGGCCCAGACUCCUACGGGAGGCAGCAGUGGGGAAUUUUGGACAAUGGGGGCAACCCUGAUUCAGCCAUGCCGCGUGAGUGAAGAAGGCCUUCGGGUUGUAAAGCUCUUUCGGCCGGGAAGAAGUCGCACGGGCUAAUACCUUGUGUGGAUGACGGUACCGGAAUAAGAAGCACCGGCUAACUACGUGCCAGCAGCCGCCGUAACAC
rnacentral:rRNA from 1 species